UACGUAGGGUGCAAGCGUUUGUCCGGAAUCAUUGGGCGUAAAGCGCGCGUAGGUGGCUUCGUAAGUCCGCUGUGAAAGUCAAAGGCUCAACCUUUGAAUGCCGAUGGAUACUGCGGAGCUAGAGUACGGAAGAGGCGAGUUGGAAUUCCUGGUGUAGCGGUGGAAUGCGCAGAUAUCAGGAGGAACACCAAUAGCGAAGGCAGCUCGCUGGGACGUUACUGACACUAAGGCGCGAAAAGCGUGGGGAGCGAACGAGG
rnacentral:rRNA from 1 species